AGACUGUUGACAAAGUGCCUGCUACGGAGAGAACAGGCAGAUCGUAAAGGCACCGUCAAUCCAUCUCUGGAGGCUCGUGCCACGCCAUCCUUGGCGCGGACGCUUU
rnacentral:ncRNA from 1 species